UAUGCUGGUUUGUCAUGUUUUAUUAUUAUUUAUUUUACAUUUUAUGAGUAUAUUUUUAGAAAAAAGCCCUCUCCGUCUUUCGUAUUUUCAUCCGAGGCCCAAGACUUUAUCAAAAUCUCCGUCUGUCUGUCCGUCGCACCAAAUUACAAAACUGCCUCUGUUAGGAGUUAGGGUUUCGUCCAAGGCGGAGCUGGGCGGUUUCCGAUCUUCCUGAUUGCUCUCUUGUCGUAGGUACCAUCUGCUCUGCUCUGUGCUUCACAGGGCAAAGUAGGAAAAAUUGUUGUUAGUGUACAAGUUUCAUUCUAAGAAAUAUUCCUAGUAGGCUUAAAGUUGAGGCGGAAGGAUGCCUCGUGACUUGGCACGGUCACAAUCACGAUCACCUUCUUAUAGGCGAAGGCUUUCGCCAUCUCCAGUGGGGUAUAGGUCUAGCAGGAGAAGCCGCAGAGACAGAAGCCGGUCUCCAUAUUCCUCGUAUUCUUAUAGCAGGUGAUCCCGUUAAUAUUCCGGCUUUUUUGUGAUCAUUUAACUGAUUCUCAAUCAAUUGCUGGAAAGAUUGAAGCGUCGCAUAUCGCUGAUGUGAUUUGGUUUACAUAAUGUUCGAGUUUCUAUGUACGCAUCUUCUCAUCCUUAUUUUUAGGUCUUUUGGUACUUUUUUAUGUCUAGUGUGAAUCCUGUUCGUAGACUUGCAUGUUACAAGAGACAGUGAUGUAUGUAAUUUGUUAAAUAUCUGACCAAGGAUUUUGGUAUUGGCUGUCAGAUUUUUUCGCUUGGAACACUUGGAUUAGUUUCGUUUAGAACAUUGUUUCAUUUCCCAAUCGUGAAGUCUUGUAAAUCUGUUUUAUAGAAAAUGAAUAUGUGCAUUCAAGUUUACCUGGAACCUAUUAUGUUGAUGUUGAGGUCACAGCUAAACGGAGCAUUCUCAUGAAAUAUCACUCUGAGUCGAUAUUCUGGAUGCUAAUUGCUAAUAUUUGACCAUUUUCCCUCAAACCUUCAAGUGGACAGGAAUUAGUUGUUCCAUUGCCUGGGCUUGGUAUGCUUUGACAUUUUUUGUUCUGAGUUUUCUUUUCCCAUCUUCAACUACAGUUGUGGUUUGUUGGUUUCGUUGCUGUCAUGCUAAUGCCAAAGAAUUGCUGACGUUGUCAUAAAAUCUGAUGGUUGGCUCAUUUUGGAUCUAACAUUGAUGGACAUGUGACCUUUGGAAAAAAUAAAUUAGUUCUUGAUUCUUUAUAAAUAACUGGAUAAGAGUCUUGUAUGAAAAUAUGGAUUAAAAUAUAGAGUUGCCAGAGUGAUAUAAGGUUGCAUGCUCUUCCUAAGAAUUUAAAAGAAUUCAGAUUCUUCCCAUCAAAUGGGAAGUGAGCAGGUGAUGUUUGUUGUUGGAUUUCCUUUUGUUGCUCGAUUGUGACCCUUGCUUCUUCAUGUGAUAAAAGAUGGAGCACACAAAGGUUAUACUUAACAAUGUAUGAGGUAACCGUACAUGUUUCUAUAUAUUUUGUGCUACAUGGUGGACAGACUUGAUAGUUAUUGAUUAUGUGUAGUCAUGUCCAGUUUUAAUUGCUGUUGCUAAUAGCUUUGUUUUUAGUAUACAGACGGAAAAGUAGUUCAAUUACCCCUAAGCACUGAAGAAAUCGUUCUCCAACUCCAAGACGUCGUAAAAGUCGUUCACUGACCCCAAGAUGUCAUAAAACUCGUUCUCCAACCCCAAGACGCCGUAAAAGUCGUUCUCCAACCCCAAGACGCCGUAAAAGUCGUUCUCCAACCCCAAGACGCCGUAAAAGUCGUUCUCCAGUUUUGAAGCGCUAUAAGAGGCAAAGAAGUAGGAGCUCCUCCUUGUCUCCUAUUCGUAAAUCUUCUAGUUCAAGUCUUGGAUUGUUGGAGCAGAAAAAUGCCAGUGAGAAAUUGAGAAAGGAAGAAGAAGAAGAGAAGAAAAGCAGGUUUACUUGACAUUCUCCUCCACAGGCUUUUCUGAAGGAUGAUACUGCUUUAGUUCAACUUGUAAUUUGAUGAUCAAAAUGGGUGCAUCGUUUAUCUACUGUUCACCAGUUGUGAAACUCAUAUGUUUGGAUCAGAAUACAUUAGAGGCGGCAACAGGAAGCAGAAUUGAAACUGCUUGAAGAAGAGACUUCAAGAAGAGUGGAAGAAGCAAUUCGUAGGAAGGUUGAGGAGAGCUUAAACUCUGAUGAGAUUAAAGUGGAAAUACAGAGGCAGUUGGAGGAAGGACAGAAGAAGCUCCUUACUGAAGUGGCAGCGCAACUUGAGAAAGAAAAGGAAGCAGCUCUGAUUGAGGCUAGGCGUAAGGAGGAACAAGCUCGAAGAGAAAAAGAAGAGCUGGAAGGGAUGCUUGAAGAGAACCGGAGGAGAGUGGAAGAAGCUCAAAGAAGGGAGGCUUUGGAGCAGCAGCGGAGGGAGGAGGAGAGAUACAAGGAGCUGGAAGAA